rnacentral:rRNA from 1 species
AGAGUUUGAUCAGUGGCUCAGAGCGAACGCUAGCGGCGGGCUUAACACAUGCAAGUCGAGCGGAGAGCUUCGGCUCUCAGCGGCGAACGGGUGAGUAACACGUAGGUAACGUGCCCUUUGAUGGGGAAUAACCUAGGGAAACCUGGGCUAAUACCGCAUAUGUCCUUCGGGAUGAAAGCCUUCGGGCGUCAGAGGAUCGGCCUGCGGCCCAUUAUUUAAUCCUAGUUGGUAGGGUAAUGGCCUACCAAGGGUACGAUGGGUAGCUGGUCUGAGAGGAUGAUCAGCCACACUGGAACUGAGACACGGUUCAGACUCCUACGGGAGGCAGCAGUGGGGAAUAUUGGACAAUGGGCGAAAGCCUGGUCCAGCCACGCCGCGUGGGUGAUGAAGGCCUUCGGGUUGUAAAGCCCUGUCGGGAGGGACGAAUCAAUGACGGUACCUCCCAAGAAAGCACCGGCUAACUCCGUG